GGAUCAAGGGCCUUCCCUCCCAAUGAUGUCAACCAAGGCCAUCCUCUGCUACAUAUGUAUCUGGAGCCAUUGGUUCCCCACUGUACCCUCAUUGGUUGGUGGUCUAGUUCCUGGGAGCAUUGGGUGGUCCAGACAGUCGACAUGGUUCUUCCUAUAAGGUUGCAAUCCCCCUCCGCUCCUCCAGUCCUUCAGCCAGCUUCCCCACUGGGGUCCCCUAGGUCAGUCUGAUGAUUGGCUCCAAGCUUCCACAUCUGCAUUGGUCAGGUGCUGGCAGAACCUCCCAGGGAACAGCCACACCAGGUUCCAAUUAGCACCACUCCCUAAUGACCAAACAUUCAAAAAUAUGAGCCUAUAGGGGUCACCAUUCUUUCUUAAACCAUCACAUAAAGAAGUACCAAGCUGAGCACUCCAAAUUCCUGACCCACAGAACUAGGAGGGAUAACCAUUACUGUCUGAAGUUCUGAAGCAUUUGGGUAGUUUAUUUCAUAGCAGUAGCUAUUGUAAUGACUAUUAGUAUCUUUGACAGAUGAAGGCACUGAGGCUUAGCACAUUUUGGUGAGCUAUCCAUGACUGUAAAGCUGAUGAGGUAGGGGGAUGCUACCUACCCCAGACCAUGCAGUGCAGCAGCCAGACCUUUACUGUCCCCAUGCACAAGUGGUGGUGCUGCUUACAUAGUUUCAAAUGAAUGAACAGACAUUUAAGAGAAUUAAUUACAUCAGCAUAUAUAUGAAUGUUAUUAAAGACAUAGAAAAAUAUCUACAGUCCCCAUUAAGUUGGAUUUUCUUACUAUUUAGUAUUGAGAAUAUGAUUAUCCAAAUAAAGUCAGCUCCAUUAUCUAUUCUGAUUGCAUAAAUGAUGAACAAGAAAGAAAUUAAGACUUCCUUUGUUGGCAUGGGAUCACAGCUAUCUUCUAUCUAUCUAUCUAUCUAUCUAUCUAUCUAUCUAUCUAUCUAUCUAUACCCUGAAGCUGUACUCAAUAUAAUUUACAUGGUAUGAAAUAAGCAAUGAGACUUGCCCCUUUUUUUGGCUGGGUAAUAUAAAUAUUUUCUUAUAUCUAUGGGCAUCUUUGUCAAUAGUUGUUAAUAUGAUAAUAUUCACUUAUUUUACUAGUAGAAAGUUUUUCUUGCUUUCCUGUUAUUAAAAACUAUUCUGUGUGUAAUGUUUUAUGCUUUCUUUUAUAUAUUUACCCUUAAGGUAAGCUCCAAGAAGUGGUCAGAUCUUUACCUUAAAAUUAUGACCUAUGGCUGGUCAUAAGAGUAGUUAGAAAAUAAUUUCAAAACUUUGACAAACUGCCCUCAAAAAAUAAUGUCCUAACUUGUUUUGCCAGUCCAAAGGAGUGCCUACUUCCCUGUGACCCUGUAUGCCAAUGCACUAGACAUAGUAACUUCCAACAACCUUAGAAGCAGGACGUUGCUCUGUAGAGUUUUUGGGUAUGAAGACUUGUCCAUUUUCAUGUACAGGACUCAUGGGGACUGGCUUUCUGCAGCAGUCUUAGGAAGAAGGAAGACCUGAAUGGUAAUGAAAAGGCCAGCCUGUGAGAACAUUUGCCCACUGCCUCUAUUUGGCCCUAACUUCUUUUACUUCAUCUAUCUGUUGUAUCAAAUUCUUUCAGUGUCGACUAUUUCUUAUAUACGAUGUAAAUACCCUUAGAAAUCUUUCAUUGGAAUUUGUUUAAUUUGUACUGCAUAAAGUCACAGCCCACAUGUAGCUGUUAAAACAGAAGCAGCUGCUGUUGUAUGCACCAAGCCUUUGUCCUUAUUUUGCUUUCUCUUUCCUCUGAAGACUCCUAGGUAAUGAUUACUAAUCUCUUCUUUCCCUGUCACCUGUAUACCAAGCCUUCUCCUCUUCAAGUACCAUCGAGGCAUCAUCCUUCCAGGAGGCCAAGAACCUGGGUCUUGUGCCAAAGUAUACUUAAUGAAGGUUUGUUGAAUGAAUGAAACCUAUCUGCACUGUAGACUGUGAAGAACUACACACAGCUUGGGAAUGAGCUGAGCCUGCCCUGUUGUGGAAACUAAAUGGAGAGACAAAUUUUGUCCUAGUUGGAAACCAAAAUCUCUUCUGCUAGCGCCCUUCUCUUUAUUUGUAAUAAAUUUGUUAGGUAGGAUCAGAGGCUCUUUGUAGUGCAUUUGUUGGGUGGUGUCAGAGGGUCUCAAACAUGUUUGAUCACAUUUACCAGAGAAGCUGAAAGUAUCAGCAAUCCUUUGGCUCAGGCUUCUGGGUUCCAUCUGGAGACUACUGGGCACACAAUAGUAUGGUCAACAGUGAGCUUCCGUUUGGUUAGCAAAUCUAUAAAAUGGGACAGCAACCAUGAUGACAUCUCUUGAGGUUUUUUAGGGUUGAGAUGAGGGUGUGGGAGUCAGGAUCUAAUAAAACCUUAAUUCCAAACCAGAAGGUGAACUGCAUCUCUGCUUAUCUUGGAGAGCCUGGGAGUACAGAUUUUGAGACCAGAUACUAGUAGAAAACUAAACUCUCCUUUGUUAUGGAAACUUACUCCCCUGUGAGACCCUGGGUUUCUUUCUUUCUUUGUUUUUGAUUUGUGUUUUGUUUUGUUUUGUUUUUCACUAGCAUUCCAGACUCCCUUGAAGUUCCCUUAUUUAGUUCCCUUCUCCAAAUCUACCCUGACCUGGUAAGAAGUCUUGCUUCCCAGUAUUAUUCAGCUUCACAGGGCCAUGGUGUUUGAAUCAACUGCUUCCUCUCACACUGGCUCUGCUUCCUGUUCUCAUUCCUGUGCCCUCACCGUCCCAAAUUUGUCUUCCAGAUUAGCCAGUGAUAAACUGAUGGAUUGGCUUGCUUCUCUGCGCUGGGUUGGAGGCAGAUAGAAUGGUAUAAACGGUUGCCAGAACAUUGAGCAAACCGAGGUGUUUCCUUACUUCUUUCACAACUGGUUGGUAGAAGCUACUUGGGUUUUUGAUGCCACCUUUCUAGGCUUCCCUUCAGACAGGCAACACGGUGGAAAGGCAGAACAAAGGAACUGAGAAUGUACCAAGUAAAAUACCAGGUGCCAAGCUAGGGCCAUGCAAGUUUGAUAAUGGCCAAUCUCCACAGUUCACCCUUUCUGCUACACAUUUCACCAGGGCCCUCUGCUGUGGUCCUUGCCUGAGGGUACUGUGAGAUUUGAGAUUCUUGACUUUUACAGAGCAGGUAGCUGUUAAGUAGAGGAGAGAAAUGUCUUACAAGAGAUAAAUGUCUUGUCCUAGUUCGCUUUGCUAGUAAGAGGCAUGGUUGGGAUUUGAACUUGCUUUCCCUGACAGGAGGAGCUGCCCUACCAGGCAGUACUCAUGCUUAUUCAGGCCCAGUAGUUAGCAUUUGUAUUUCCAGGGAAAUGAAGCUAGAAUGGGAUUUUUUUUUAAAAGAAGUUUUUGGAGCCAAAAUUAUUUUAAUUUUAUGGCUGGGAAAAAUGUAAACUUACAUUUCCAGCAGACCAGAGAUGAUAAAGUAUGUGUUUGUCAAAUAAAAUUCUUUACUGUGAUGAAGUAAAUCAUUCUUUGGCUUGUAAAAAAAUUAGGCCUCACUUGAACUGUUUUCACUGGGACUUUUGCUAAUAUUUCUGUUAUCUCCAUUAGGGAUUACUAUGACAAAUGCCUUCUAUUCGCUUCGUUAAGCACUUGGGUGAACGUGUGAACAUGCAGGGCUUCAUAAGUCACAAGGAAAUGAAACAACAUGGUCUUCUGGAAAUAGCUUGAAAACCCAACAGACUGGGACUAGCAUCUGGCUCUGCCACUUAGGAACUACAGCACUCUCAGUAAGCUUUCUCAGCUCCCCUAGGCUUUGAUUUCCUAAUGUUGGGUGUGGGCAUCACCAUUUAUCUCUAAGUCAUUGUAAGCAUGGGAUGAGAAGGCAUGCUGAAGCAUUCUACAAAGAUCCUGGUAUGGGGUGAGUGUUCAUUGUGUGUCUCGAUAUGUUGUGGGUAGCUCUCAGAGUAACUAGUGUGUAGCUCUCAGGGUAACUACUAGCUACUUACUGACCAUAUUGUUUUCCUCAUGGCAGGUAGAAACAUAGAAGAUGCAGGAAGGGGCCAGGACAUGGUCUUGCUAACUGGCUUUCUCUACUUAGGCCCCUUCCUUUGCUAGCAGAUAGAAGCCUGGUUGGUACUCAUCUUAGGAACCUGUCUAGAACACUUCAUGUUCCAGCAUCGCUGAGGUCAUAGAGGCACUGCUCAUAUUGGCCAUGAAAUGGGAACCUUUGGCUCCAUCAGCAGAUGAAUGGAUAAAGACACUUUGGCACAUCUAUCUAUACAGUGGAAUACGACACAGUAAAAGAGAUGAAAUCAUAUUGCCUGGAACAGAAUGGAUGUGACGAAUGUCAUAAUGGCUGGCUUGGCACUGCCAAUGUGAUGUCCUUGUGUGUGGAAUUGGGCAGAAUGCAGAGACCAGUGUGUUGUAUAUGCCAAAGUGUGACGAUGAAGCUGACAGUAUGAAGUAUCUCCUGUGCUCAGACAAAAGAGAUGCAUAUAAUACUGACCCAACAGCAUGGAGUGUGUUUUCUCUUGGAAACUACUUAGGAAGUGAUGGGUGUUUACUACCAUUUUAAUUGUAUGAGUGUGCAACCAAAGCAGUGGGAAGAGGAAGUCUGGAACAUUUUUCUACAAAAUCCUCAUGUAGUGAAGUAAAAAUGAAGAUGGUUUGAAGUAUGUGAUGCACACUUGUGUAAGCGCUCUUAUAGAACAUGCCCAACAUGCAGUGAAUAUAUAUAGUGGAAAUUAAAGAGAAACUGAAAAAAAUCAUGCAUGCCAUUUGUCUCAUGUGACAAUAAGCUAGCAAAUGCCAGUUCAUGCCAAUGCUCUGGCAAGCCAUCAGGGCUUCAGAUUCCUGCUCUGGCUUCCCGUGUAUGACUCCAUCCUCUGUAGUGCCUCAAAACUGCAAUCCAGAUCUUCUCUCGAUGCCUUCAUAUUCACAUCCCAAGCAGGACUGGGAUAAAGAAGAGACUGUCAUGCUUACUUGGCCAUGAUACUGUAUUGUCUUCCUCUGGAUGACUCAAUAACGAGCCUUCAAGAAACAACAGAGGCUAUAAACAGUGGCUGCAAACAGUACAUGUUUAUUAACCCACAGUUCUAGAGAGCUACAGCCCAAACUCAUUCUCCCUGGACUAAUGUUGCAGGGUUGUGCUCUUUAGUGGAGAUGCAUUGAGGCAGACGGCAACCACUUGUCCUCACCAGGCAGAGGUUACCUGUAUUCUUGGCCUGGAAACUCUUGCAACUUCAUAGGCUGCAGAAGCUGGCCCCUUGCAUGUGGCAUUAUUGUAUCCCUGCAUUGUUAUGGUCUCUUUCUUCAAAGGAUCCUUGUGAUAAUACUGAGGCUACCAUACUGAGGUAACCACACUGAAGAAAUAUAAUCUAAUCUCCCCUUCUCUAAACCACUACUAGUUUUCCUCUGCAAAUUCUCUUUGACAAGGAAGGGGACAUAUCCAUGACAUCCAUGGAUGUGAACCAUUGUGUGGUUCUUGACUGGAGCUGGUCCUGCAAGGCCAUCCUUGGUUACAUAGAAGUCUGGGCAAUCAAGGUUUUGCAUUUGGAACUGUCUUAUUUAGAGUUUCCUUUGCUGUGAAGAGACACCAUGACCAAGGCAGCUCUUAUAACGGAAAACAUUUAAUCCAGGGUGGCUUACAGUUCACAGGUUCAGUCCAUUAUCAUCAUGGUGGGAAGCAUGGCACCUAGGCAGGCAGACAUGGUGGUGGAGAAGUAUCUGAGAGUUCUAUAUCCUGAUCUGAAGGGAGUCAGGAGGAAAGUGUGUCACUGGACAUAUCUUGAGAAUAGGAGUCCUCAAACCCUAUGACACACUUCCUUUAACAAGGCCACACCCCCUAAUAGUGCCACUUCCUAUGGAGAAAAGUUCAACCAUAUGAGUCUGUGGGGGGGGGGCAAACCUAUUCAAAGCACCACAGGAACAAUACAGGAAGUGUAAAUAAGAGAGCAGAAGGGAGAAAUACCAGUGGAGUUAUCUACACACUGGGAAAUAAAUGCCCAGGUGGAUAGCUUGCUCUAUGCAUUAAUGGAAAUUUGAAAACAGGCUACUAUUUCAUGUUGGUAAUGGAUGGGCUUACUAUGUGUCCUAGUUAGCUUUAACUGUCAAUUUGACACUACCUAGAAAUAGCCUGAGUGGAGAGCCUCAAUUGAAUUCCUUAGAACAAACUAGCCUAUAGUCAUGCCUGUGGGAGAAUUGUCUUGAUUGUUCCUUGACAUAGGAUCUAGCCCAUUGUGGGAGGGUCAUUUCAUGGCCAGGUGGUCCUGGACUACCUAAGGAAGCUCGAGCUAAGCAUGAGCUUGUGUGAGCCAUCAAGCAGUCUUCCUCUAGGUCUCUGCUGUGCUUCUUGGAUGUGCACUGAGUUCCCUGGCCAGAGGUAAUGCUGUGUGGAAUAUCACCCUCAGCCCCAAGCUCUGCUCUUAAUUGUGGAUGUGAUAUGAUUAGCUUCUUGAGUCUUUUACCUUGACUUUUUCCUCAGUGAUGGACUGUAACUGAGAAUCAUGAGCCGAAUACACCCUCCCCUCUUCUAAGUUGCUUUUGGCCAACAUGUUUUAUCACAGCAACAGAAAGCAGAGUAGAAAACUUUGUUAUAAUCAUUGCUCCCUCACGCUUACAGGCCACCUCUGCUCUCCAGCCUCACUCUAUGCGCACUGUGCUGUUGGCAUAGGGUAGCAAUAGGCCAUCCAUCAUUUCCUUUGCAUGGAAGAAUGCACAGCUGUCCUCCCAAGCCACGGUUACUCAUGUUGGAAAAUGUUACCCCUCUAUCUCUCCCGUCUGUUCUUCAAUGGGUUAGGUGUUGUGGUAGGGAGAGUGCUGGGGAGGAGUUUGCCUGGCCAUAGACAUCAGACAGACCCAUUGACAUAGAGGGCAGAGGUACUCACUGAGGAGAAAACACCUCAUGGGGCAAGGCCUAAAUCGUUGCCAUGGGUUUUGUCAUGGGACAUGAUUUUUCCCCCAUGUAGCAGAAAAUAUCACAUAGAAAAAUUGGAAUAUAUUAUUUCCAAGUUGGCCACCAUAAUGAAAGUAGAACCUGGGAUGAAAAUGGUUUUGUGUUGUCUCUUGGACAACAGAUAAGUAGAAACUUGAACAAGAUAAAAGUAUGUGGAUCCAUCCCAUAUCUAGCCACCAAACCUG